rnacentral:rRNA from 1 species
GGGCCCGCACAAGCAGCGGAGCAUGUGGCUUAAUUCGAAGCAACGCGAAGAACCUUACCAGGGCUUGACACCUGGGUGAAGCGGCGGAGACGCCGUGGCCGGAAGGAGCCCAGACAGGUGGUGCAUGGCUGUCGUCAGCUCGUGUCGUGAGAUGUUGGGUUAAGUCCCGCAACGAGCGCAACCCCCGUCGCAUGUUGCCAGCGGUUCGGCCGGGCACCCGUGCGAGACCGCCGGCGCCAAGCCGGAGGAGGGCGGGGACGACGUCAAGUCAUCAUGCCCCUCAUGCCCUGGGCCGCACACGUGCUACAAUGGCCGGCACAGCGGGCUGCCAGCGCGCGAGCGCGAGCGAAUCCCCAAAGCCGGCCCCAGUUCGGACUGGAGGCUGAAACCCGCCUCCACGAAGCCGGAGUUGCUAGUAAUCGCGGAUCAGCACGCCGCGGUGAAUGCGUUCCCGGGCCUU